rnacentral:rRNA from 1 species
UACGGGGGGGUAAGCGUUGUUCGGAAUUACUGGGCGUAAAGGGCUCGUAGGCGGCCAACUAAGUCAGACGUGAAAUCCCUCAGCUUAACUGGGGAACUGCGUCUGAUACUGGAUGGCUUGGAUUCGGGAGAGGAAUGCGGAAUUCCAGGUGUAGCGGUGAAAUGCGUAGAUAUCUGGAAGGAACACCGGUGGCGAAGGCGGCAUUCUGGACCGAUAUUGACGCUGAGGAGCGAAAGCCAGGGAGC